rnacentral:rRNA from 1 species
GACGAACGCUGGCGGCGUGCCUAAUACAUGCAAGUAGAACGCACAGUUUAUACCGUAGCUUGCUACACCAUAGACUGUGAGUUGCGAACGGGUGAGUAACGCGUAGGUAACCUGCCUGGUAGCGGGGGAUAACUAUUGGAAACGAUAGCUAAUACCGCAUAAUAUUGAUUAUUGCAUGAUAAUUAAUUGAAAGGUGCAAUUGCACCACUACCAGAUGGACCUGCGUUGUAUUAGCUAGUAGGUGAGGUAACGGCUCACCUAGGCGACGAUACAUAGCCGACCUGAGAGGGUGAUCGGCCACACUGGGACUGAGACACGGCCCAGACUCCUACGGGAGGCAGCAGUAGGGAAUCUUCGGCAAUAGACGAAAGUCUGACCGAGCAACGCCGGGUGAGUGAAGAAGGGUUUCGGAUCGUAAAGCUCUGUUGUAAGAGAAGAACGGGUGUGAGAGUGGAAAGUUCACACUGUGACGGUAUCUUACCAGAAAGGGACGGCUAACUACGUG